AAGUUGCCGCCGCUGCCGCCGCCAGGCACUGGGCUACCGGCUGGGCAGGCUCCGCAGCCCGCAUCGCUCUGGCUAGGCGCACGGAGGCGCCUUGCUUAGCCUGACCCUUAUAUGGCCAAGCGUAAAACUUGUCCUGCCUAAAAGCCUGCUGAGACCUCGUACUUGGUCUAAUCCGCGGGAGACGCCAAAGGCGGCGGCCGUUUGUGCGCACACAAUGAGCUCCAUUUUUCUUGGAGCUGUAGCAGUCUAGGAAGCCAGGGUGGAACUUUUGCUAAGCUCCCGUUGUGAGCCCAGAGCUGUAAUAACUGCUGAGACACAACCAGCAGUAUACAGGCUCCAGUUGGAAAUCCAGAACUUUCCAGGGCUGUUUGUCACCCAGGCUGGAGUGCAGUGGUGCCAUCACAGCUCACUGCAGCCUCGACCUCCUAGGCUAAAGUGAUCCUCCCAGCUCAGCCUCCCAAGUAGCUGGGACUACAGGAAUGUGCCACGCCCAGGUCUAUCCAGCUGAAGUCAAAAAUGCCCCUCUCAGGCUGCCCCCAGUGACUCCGGUUUCCUAGCAGAGCCUAACCAGGUUAAGAAAUUUGUCCAUGGGUGCCUGAACCGAAAGUCGUAUUUCUUUUUACCACAAUGUGCUGCCUUAGAGGAACAAUUGCGUUCAAUAGGAUCAAGUGCAUUGUAGGCUCUAUUUAUAACAUGCAUAAGAGAGAGAGAGCCCAUUGAGAUCUGCCUCAAGCUGAAGAUGAAAGGGGGCCUCUGGAGUCGCUUGAUCGAGCAGAGUCUGAUAGAGUUAUCAGGCUUUUGCAGAUAGAAUGCCUACCACUGUAGGAUACAUUGUCAUAAUCAGUGUUUAGGCAAAACACCUGGACUUCUGCAAGAAC
rnacentral:lncRNA from 1 species